UGUAGCCAAAGCCAAAUGUUAUUUCUUUUUGUCCUGCGUGGGGUCUUGUGUCCACAGGAACAUCAAUACAAAAAGUAUUAGUUUCGAGUGAGAAAGCACCGUACUUCGUUUGUGCGAUGUGUAAAGAUUGCGCGCAAUUCCCGCGGUACUUGGAGCACCGGUCAAGCACGAGUCGUUCAAGAAAUCUACGGAAUGAGCCUCCGCAUGUGGUGGCCGACUUCCAUGGCUGCCAACUCCAUGGCAGUUUGAUAGUAACUAAAGAUUGACCUUGGCUCAGAAAUCCUAAUGGAAAACCAGUUGUGGCAGGGGCUUCUAGUAGAAACCAAGGACUCCCUGGCACUCUGGGAGAGGAACAGGAAAGCAAUUAUGGUGCAUCUAAUACGUGCACAAGUAGUGUCCCUGGUUCCUCCUGCUGCUGUUCCAUCAAAAAGGAAGGUCAUCAUCCUCAGAGUAACCAUGCACUGCAGCAUGCUUUCCACGUGGAGGAGCGGGAAACCAGUUCUUCCAAAGCAGAGUAAUGACGGGAGCAUGAGCUGAUAUCUGGCGGACCAGCCACCUGUUUGGCACGUCCAUGGCCUGCAUGCAGGCGUUGGGCAA
rnacentral:lncRNA from 1 species